rnacentral:rRNA from 1 species
AUUGAACGCUGGCGGAAUGCUUUACACAUGCAAGUCGAACGGCAGCACGGGGCAACCUGGUGGCGAGUGGCGAACGGGUGAGUAAUAUAUCGGAACGUGCCCAAUCGUGGGGGAUAACGUAGCGAAAGUUACGCUAAUACCGCAUACGAUCUACGGAUGAAAGCGGGGGAUCGCAAGACCUCGCGCGAAUGGAGCGGCCGAUAUCAGAUUAGGUAGUUGGUGGGGUAAAGGCUCACCAAGCCAACGAUCUGUAGCUGGUCUGAGAGGACGACCAGCCACACUGGAACUGAGACACGGUCCAGACUCCUACGGGAGGCAGCAGUGGGGAAUUUUGGACAAUGGGCGCAAGCCUGAUCCAGCCAUUCCGCGUGCAGGAUGAAGGCCUUCGG